GGCCCGUUAGCUCAGUUGGUUAGAGCGUCGUGCUAAUAACGCGAAGGUCGCGGGUUCUAUCCCCUCACGGGCUA
rnacentral:tRNA from 1 species